AUGAAGCUGGAAUUGCUGUAAUGGCAGGUCAGCAUACUGCCGUGAAUACGUUCCCGGGCCUUGUACACACCGCCCGUCACACCAUGAGAGUUGGAAAUACCCGAAGCCUGUGAGCUAACUUAAAGAGGCAGCAGUCGAAGGUAGAGCCAAUGAUUGGGGUGAAGUCGUAACAAGGUACC
rnacentral:rRNA from 1 species